rnacentral:tRNA from 1 species
GGUGGUUCAGUGGUAGAGCGCUUGCCUCCUAUGCAUGAGGCCCUGAGUUCGAUUCAGCACCA